rnacentral:rRNA from 1 species
UACGUAGGUGACCAGCGUUGUCCGGAUUUACUGGGCGUAAAGAGCUCGUAGGCGGCUUGUCGCGUCGGAUGUGAAAGCCCGGGGCUUAACUCCGGGUCUGCAUUCGAUACGGGCAGGCUAGAGUUCGGUAGGGGAGAUCGGAAUUCCCGGUGUAGUGGUGAAAUGCGUAGAUAUCGGGAGGAAUACCAGUGGCGAAGGCGGCUGCCUGGCCUGUUCUUGACGCUGAGGCGCGAAAGCUGGGGGAGCAAACGGG